rnacentral:rRNA from 1 species
CUAAAGGGAUGGACCUGCGAUGCAUUAGCUAGUUGGUAAGGGUAACGGGCUUACCAAGGCGAUGAUGCAUAGCCCGAGUUGAGAGACUGAUCGGGCCACAUUGGGACUGAGACACGGGCCAAACUCCUACGGAGGCAGCAGUAGGGGAAUCUUCCACAAUGGACGAAAAGUCUGAUGGAGCAAACGCCGCGUGAGUGAAGAAGGUUUUCGGAUCGUAAAAAGCUCUGUUGUUGGUGAAGAAGGAUAGAGGUAGUAACUGGCCCUUUAUUUGACGGUAAUCAACCCAGAAAGUCACGGGCUAACUACGUGCCCAGCAGCCGCGGUAAAU